CCCUAAUUCCUAAACUGUUGGGACCUAAACUCCCAAAAUCAAUACCAACCUUCCUUUUGUAGUCAUUAACAUUGUGUUUAAAUUUCAUUGAUUUCUAUUUACUUAAACUAAUGUUAUUGUGCGAAAACCAAGAAUAAUGCUUAUUUGGGCCCUUUUUUGGCCCCUAAUUCCUAAACUGUUGAGACCAAAACUCCCAAAAUCAAUCCCAACCGUUCUUUUGUGGUCGUAAACCUUGUGUCAAAAUUUCAUAGAUUUCUAUUAACUUAAACUAAAGUUAUAGUGCGAAAACCAAGAAAAUGCUUAUUUGGGCCCUUUUUGGCCCCUAAUUCCUAAAAUGUUGGGACCAAAACUCCCAAAAUCAAUACCAACCUUCCUUUUGUGGUCAUAAACCUUGUGUUAAAAUUUCAUAGAUUUCCAUUCACUUUUACUAAAGUUAGAGUGCGAAAACUAAAAGUAUUCGGACGCCGGACGACGACGACGACGACGACGACGACGACGACGCCGACGCCAACGUGAUAGCAAUAUACGACGAAAAUUUUUUCAAAAUUUGCGGUCGUAUAAAAACAGCAAAAUUUCUUUAAAAUUACCAAUUCAGGGGCAGCAACCCAACAAAAGGUUG
rnacentral:lncRNA from 1 species